rnacentral:misc_RNA from 1 species
AAGUCGUAACAAGGUUUCCGUAGGUGAACCUGCGGAAGGAUCAUUAACGAGUUGAACGGGGUUGUAGCUGGCCUUCACGGGCAUGUGCACACCUCACUCAUCCACUCUACACCUGUGCACUUACUGUGGGUUUCGAGAGGCCGCGCUUGCGUGGUUGAUCGGGCUCACGUCUAUUACAAACUCUUCAGUAUCAGAAUGUGUAUCGCGAUGUAACGCAUCUAUAUACAACUUUCAGCAACGGAUCUCUUGGCUCUC